rfam:Phytophthora parasitica P1569 supercont1.4887, whole genome shotgun sequence.
GCCCUCGUAGCUCAAUGGUAGAGCGUUGGCUUUGAAAGCCAAGGGUUGGUGGUUCGAUCCCGUCCGGGACA